rnacentral:rRNA from 1 species
AUUGAACGCUGGCGGCAUGCCUUACACAUGCAAGUCGAACGGUAACGGGCCUUCGGGUGCCGACGAGUGGCGAACGGGUGAGUAAUAUAUCGGAACGUACCUUUCAGUGGGGGAUAACGUAGCGAAAGUUACGCAAAUACCGCAUAUUCUGUGCGCAGGAAAGCAGGGGACCUUCGGGCCUUGCGCUGAUUGAGCGGCCGAUAUCAGAUUAGCUAGUUGGUGAGGUAAAGGCUCACCAAGGCGACGAUCUGUAGCGGGUCUGAGAGGAUGAUCCGCCACACCGGAACUGAGACACGGUCCAGACUCCUACGGGAGGCAGCAGUGGGGAAUUUUGGACAAUGGGGGCAACCCUGAUCCAGCCAUGCCGCGUGAGUGAAGAAGGCCUUCGGGUUGUAAAGCACUUUAAGUCGGGAGGAAGGGCUGCAGGUUAAUACCUUGCAGCCUUGACGUUACCGACAGAAUAAGCACCGGCUAACUUCGUGCCAGCCGCCGCAGUAAAAC